AAUUCUCAAAGCAAGUCUUUUGUUAAUUCAAUCGGCUUUGCUUUGGAUUUGGAGGUUGCAGAUUCACGUCUGCUCUUCUUAAAUAAAUUAGCUGGAUCUCCGUGAACUUGGUUCCACUCGGCGUGAUAAGUAUCACUCGCUGAGGACACCCGUAAAAAAGGUGGCCAGGCUUGAGGAUGAGCCGCUUCCAACGGUCCAUUCGAUUGGACAAUUUAAUUUAUG
rnacentral:misc_RNA from 1 species